AUAGCAUGUUUUAACCCUUCAUUAGGGAAGUAGAAAUAUUCACUUUUACACUGUAACUAUUAUAAGGAAAUUGAUCAUAUAAAAAGUAAUAUUUACAAAGCACAGAAGAGUUAACCCUUCAAUCCCCUCUUAGAAUCAUGAUUGUUAUAUAACAUGAUUCUUGGGUGAGGCUCCUUUCUUGUUCCUCCAGUUCUUGAGAUAUUGGACAUAAUCGUCGGGUCCCUUACUAUCAGAGGAGGUGACAGGACUGGUGGUUAUAUCAUAGUACAUCAGGGCCUUAUCAAUGCCUUUGGAGGUGGGAGGUCAGGGCUGUCUGCCCCGGUUCGUACCUCACUGGAAUCACUUGCUUCCCUCUCUAGGUCUGGUCUAGGAACCUUUUUUACUCGGGAUGCAUGGAUCCAGGUAUGCUGAAAAAGGCAUUCUUCAAAUCAAUUACAGAGAAGAACGCAGCAUCUGCAGGGAUUGCAGAAAUGAGUGAGUUUACAUCUGGAACAAUUGGUGCAAUUGGGACAAUUAACUGAUUGAUCGCUCUGAGAUCCUG